GUGCUCACUGGGCUGCACAUAUACUAAAACUGGAAUGACACAGAGAAGAUUAGCAUGACCCCUGCACAAGGAUGACACACAAAUUCUUGUUUGGCUACCAAAACUA
rnacentral:snRNA from 1 species